UACCGGAGCCAUGGAAGUCAAAUGCUGAGGAUGGUGGCAUCAUAGGAUGAAUGGAGCUGGGUUCUUGAAACACUGCCUGGAGGAAAGACAGCAAAAAUGCCUCAUGAAUCCAACUGGACUGUUAGGAUGCUCACCCUUGGAGACCAGCAACAAUGUGUGCAGAAACCCAGGCCAUGUGGAGAGGCCCCACAUACGUGUCCAACUGAGGUCCCAGCUGACAGCUGGCAUUGACAUAAUGUUCACUCUGGGGGAAGCCAGCUGCCACGCUGUAAGGACACUCGGGCAGUCCUAUGAAGAGGCCCGUGUGGUGAGAAAGAGAGGCCUCCAGCCAACAGCCAUGUGAGUGGGCCAUUGAGGAAGCAGCCUCAGUGCCUGCAGCCCUGACUGGCAUCCUGAACUACCACCUUAAAUGAGACCCUGAGCCAGAGUCACUACUUCCAAAUUCUUGACCCACAGAAAUUGUGAAAUAAUAUUUGUUGUUUUAAGCCGCCAAGUUUUGGGAGUAAUUUGUUAUAUAGCAAAAGAUAAUUAAUACAUUCACUUCCUAAGAUUAUGGUGAAGAAUUAAGGAUACAGCAUGAAAAGAACUUUGCUAUUAUUUUUAUUAUCUGAUCCAAUUUAUGUUGAAGGGCCUUCAGUACUUUCUUCUUUUACUCUAUCUUGACAUUUGUCUGAAACAUUUUUGUUUGUUUGUUUGUUUGUUUGUUUGUUUUUUAGAGAUGGGGUCUUGCUAUGUUUCCCAGUUGGAGUGCAGUGAUUAUUCACAGACAUGAUCCCACUACUGAUCAGCAUGGGAGUUUUCACCUGCU
rnacentral:lncRNA from 1 species